rnacentral:rRNA from 1 species
GACGAACGCUGGCGGCGUGCCUAAUACAUGCAAGUUGAGCGCUGAAGGUUGGUACUUGUCCCAACUGGAUGAGCAGCGAACGGGUGAGUAACGCGUGGGGAAUCUGCCUUUGAGCGGGGGACAACAUUUGGAAACGAAUGCUAAUACCGCAUAAAAACUUUAAACACAAGUUUUAAGUUUGAAAGAUGCAAUUGCAUCACUCAAAGAUGAUCCCGCGUUGUAUUAGCUAGUUGGUGAGGUAAAGGCUCACCAAGGCGAUGAUACAUAGCCGACCUGAGAGGGUGGUCGGCCAAAUUGGGAAGGAGAAACGGCCCAAAAUCCUACGGGAGGCAGCAGGAGGGAAUCUUCGGCAAUGGACGAAAGUCUGACCGAGCAACGCCGCGGGAGUGAAGAAGGUUUUCGGAUCGUAAAACUCUGUUGGUAGAGAAGAACGUUGGUGAGAGUGGAAAGCUCAUCAAGUGACGGUAACUACCCAGAAAGGGACGGCUAACUACGUG